GAUGAACGCUGGCGGCGUGCCUAAUACAUGCAAGUCGAGCGAACGGACGAGAAGCUUGCUUCUCUGAUGUUAGCGGCGGACGGGUGAGUAACACGUGGAUAACCGACCUAUAAGACUGGGAUAACUUCGGGAAACCGGAGCUAAUACCGGAUAAUAUUUUGAACCGCAUGGUUCAAAAGUGAAAGACGGUCUUGCUGUCACUUAUAGAUGGAUCCGCGCUGCAUUAGCUAGUUGGUAAGGUAACGGCUUACCAAGGCAACGAUGCAUAGCCGACCUGAGAGGGUGAUCGGCCACACUGGAACUGAGACACGGUCCACACUCCUACGGGAGGCAGCAGUAGGGAAUCUUCCGCAAUGGGCGAAAGCCUGACGGAGCAACGCCGCGUGAGUGAUGAAGGUCUUCGGAUCGUAAAACUCUGUUAUUAGGGAAGAACAUAUGUGUAAGUAACUGUGCACAUCUUGACGUUACCUAAUCAGAAAGCCACGGCUAACUACGUG
rnacentral:rRNA from 1 species